rnacentral:snRNA from 1 species
AUGCUCACUUCAAUAGCACAUGUACUAAAAUUGGAAUUAUACAGAGAAGGUUAGUGUUGUCCCUGCAUAAAGAUGUGUCACACGUGUGAGACAAUGCAAGGUUUG